rnacentral:rRNA from 1 species
UAGGGAAUCUUCCGCAAUGGACGAAAGUCUGACGGAGCAACGCCGCGUGAGCGAAGAAGGCCUUCGGGUCGUAAAGCUCUGUUGUUAGGGAAGAACAAGUACCAGAGUAACUGCUGGUACCUUGACGGUACCUAACCAGAAAGCCACGGCUAACUACGUGCCAGCAGCCGCGGUAAUACGUAGGUGGCAAGCGUUGUCCGGAAUUAUUGGGCGUAAAGCGCGCGCAGGUGGUUUCUUAAGUCUGAUGUGAAAGCCCACGGCUCAACCGUGGAGGGUCAUUGGAAACUGGGGAACUUGAGUGCAGAAGAGGAAAGUGGAAUUCCACGUGUAGCGGUGAAAUGCGUAGAGAUGUGGAGGAACACCAGUGGCGAAGGCGACUUUCUGGUCUGUAACUGACACUGAGGCGCGAAAGCGUGGGGGAGCAAACAGGAUUAGAUACCCUGGUAGUCCACGCCGUAAACGAUGAGUGCUAAGUGUUAGAGGGUUUCCGCCCUUUAGUGCUGCAG